rnacentral:hammerhead_ribozyme from 1 species
ACCCAGCUGAAGAGUCCCAAAUAGGACGAAACGCGCGUCCUGGAU